GUGAGUGUGAGAGCAAGAACAGCCCGCAGGUCCCGAGGCGCUUGCUGGGGACUCUGCCGCGGAAAGUUCCCAGUCCCCAGCCGCAGCUACCCUGGAAAGCAGGAAGAGAACCGGAAGUAAGGCAAACUAAAGCAAGCCAAAUCCCUCAAAAUAUGGGAAAUGUAUCAAGCAAAAUCUAUGAGUGUUUCUGAUGAGAGACACUGAGUGAAGAAAAGUGCUGUCUUGGGGAUCAAUGCUGGAUGGCCCUUCUCACUGCAGCUACAGACCUUGGAGACAGAGGAAGAUGCAGCAAGGGGUACUGAUGCCUCAUAAGUUUUGUUAUGUUCAGAUGCCUUCGUGAAACUGGUUUUACCUGAGAAAGAGGAGCUGUCAUUCAGCGAGUCGUAGGUGGCAGUGUGCAUGGCAGAGUCCCAUGUGUUACACCACGAGGACAUUCACAUUUUCCCACUUGGUGAGGUCCUUCUACCUAAUCCUCAUUCCUUGUGCACAGAAGAGGACUGGAAAAUUCUCCUCAUAGAACUGCAUACUGUUAUCUCUGAGAAGUGUUUUCCAAAAAGUGCUUUAUAAAAACAGCCAGGCAGUUCAGCAUUGUGGAUAAGCUUUUAUAACUUACUUACACCCUGAAGAUUUCAGAGUUCACAGUAAGUAAAUCACUGCGUGCACCUUUUCCAGUUUCUUCUUGUGAAAUACAUUUUUUC
rnacentral:lncRNA from 1 species